rnacentral:piRNA from 1 species
UAAACAGAUGGAGCCUGAAAUGGGAGGGU